rnacentral:rRNA from 1 species
AUGUCACUGCAGUCCAUAGUGCGGCCACCUUCAGCUCUCUCUCCCUCUCAUGGAAGUACACCACCAGAAAAGGUGCCUGGAGGUGGGCGAGGUCCUGGCCUCCGAACUCCCUGCGCCUCCUUCCUUAUGCUGAACUCAUUGGUUGUCGCCGUGGUGCUGUACCAGGCGAUGGGGGCGCUGGAUGGUUCGUGCAUCGGCGCAUCGGGCGCACAUCGUGCUCUUCUGCAGUCCAUCGCUCGUGGCGUUGGAGUCCGCAUCGUGCAACCCCGCAGCUCAGCCCCUCGCAUGCGUGCAUUUCAUGUUUUUCCUUAUUCUUUUCCUGAUUUUUGA